UCAGAUAAUAUUAAGUAUAUAAUAAUAACUGUUUAAACUAUGUGAUGUUAGUUUAUAAUUAUUAUAUUAGGUGAAGUUGAGUUGCAAGAUGUUCGUGGUAAGUUAUUAACAGUGUUCAUCGCCUCACUUGUAAACAUUAAGUCGACUAAAAUGUGUUACUUAAAAUAAAAACUUGGAGGAUUUAAUACUUAACUACGUCAUUAACACUAUAUAAAGAUGCGAGUGGAUGGACAUAAGAAAGAUACAGGAGGCCAUCCCACACAAACAUCUUCCACCACAACACAAGAUUAAAGCUGUAUAAAACAGGAGGCAGAACAAUUCCUCACAACUGUACAAUAAGUCAGUACAGUAUGAGGAUUAGUGAACAUCUUCAAAAGAACAUUGUAAGCAAGAUUAAG